rnacentral:rRNA from 1 species
UACGUAGGGUGCAAGCGUUGUCCGGAAUUAUUGGGCGUAAAGAGCUCGUAGGCGGUUUGUUGCGUCGGCUGUGAAAUCCCGAGGCUCAACCUCGGGUCUGCAGUCGAUACGAGCAAACUAGAGUGUUGCAGGGGAGACUGGAAUUCCUGGUGUAGCGGUGAAAUGCGUAGAGAUCGGGAGGAACACCAGAGGCGAAGGCGGCGAACUGGAUAGCAACUGACACUCAACUACGAAAGCGUGGGGAGCAAACAGG